rnacentral:rRNA from 1 species
UACGUAGGUGACAAGCGUUGUCCGGAUUUACUGGGCGUAAAGAGCGCGCAGGCGGUCGGUCAAGUCGAGUGUGAAAGCCCCCGGCUCAACUGGGGAGGGUCACUCGAUACUGAUCGACUCGAAGGCAGGAGAGGGAAGUGGAGUUCCCGGUGUAGUGGUGAAAUGCGUAGAUAUCGGGAGGAACACCAGUGGCGAAGGCGACUUCCUGGCCUGUUCUUGACGCUGAGGCGCGAAAGCUAGGGGAGCAAACGGG